UACGGAGGGAGCUAGCGUUGUUCGGAAUUACUGGGCGUAAAGGGCGCGUAGGCGGCCAUUCGAGUCGGGGGUGAAAGCCUGUGGCUCAACCACAGAAUUGCCUUCGAUACUGUUUGGCUUGAGUUUGGUAGAGGUUGGUGGAACUGCGAGUGUAGAGGUGAAAUUCGUAGAUAUUCGCAAGAACACCAGUGGCGAAGGCGGCCAACUGGACCAAUACUGACGCUGAGGCGGCGAAAAGCGUG
rnacentral:rRNA from 1 species